rnacentral:rRNA from 1 species
UCAGAUUGAACGCUGGCGGCAGGCCUAACACAUGCAAGUCGGACGGUAGCACAGGGGAGCUUGCUCCCCGGGUGACGAGUGGCGGACGGGUGAGUAAUGUCUGGGAAACUGCCCGGUGGAGGGGGAUAACUACUGGAAACGGUAGCUAAUACCGCAUAACGUCUUCGGACCAAAGUGGGGGAUCUUAGGGCCUCACGCCACCGGAUGUGCCCAGAUGGGAUUAGCUAGUAGGUGGGGUAACGGCUCACCUAGGCGACGAUCCCUAGCUGGUCUGAGAGGAUGACCAGCCACACUGGAACUGAGACACGGUCCAGACUCCUACGGGAGGCAGCAGUGGGGAAUAUUGCACAAUGGGCGCAAGCCUGAUGCAGCCAUGCCGCGUGUAUGAAGAAGGCCUUCGGGUUGUAAAGUACUUUCAGCGGGGAGGAAGGCGGUGAGGUUAAUAACCUUGCCGAUUGACGUUACCCGCAGAAGAAGCACCGGCUAACUCCGUGCCAGCAGCCGCGGUAAUACGGAGGGUGCAAGCGUUAAUCGGAAUUACUGGGCGUAAAGCGCACGCAGGCGGUCUGUUAAGUCAGAUGUGAAAUCCCCGGGCUUAACCUGGGAACUGCAUUUGAAACUGGCAGGCUUGAGUCUCGUAGAGGGGGGUAGAAUUCCAGGUGUAGCGGUGAAAUGCGUAGAGAUCUGGAGGAAUACCGGUGGCGAAGGCGGCCCCCUGGACGAAG